ensembl:lncRNA
CAGGCCUCAUCAGGCGCUACAGCGAGGCGGGCGUGGCUCCCCCUAUACUCCUUUAUGCGGACUGUGGCUGCUGCAAGGAGGCGGGAGGGGAGAGCGAGCUGAAGGCCAGGUUCAGCGGCUGGCCAGACCUCGUCAUCCGGCUGGACGCCUGGCACUUCCUUCGGCGGCUUGCGGCCGGAUGCACGACCGACGCCCACGCCCUGUACCCCGUCUUCAUGGCCAUGCUCUCCGUCUGCCUGUUCGAGUGGGACCCUGAAGAUGUGGCCCUUCUGCACCACGCCAAGAGGGAGGAGCUCCGGAGGGAGGGUGUGCCCGGCAUCUCCGAGGCUCUGGUGGACAGCUGAUUGACCAAGGCCCAGUUGGCGCUGUACUGCAGGCGGAGGACCCGCGGAGAGGAGGCCACCAUCCGCCAGGUGGAGGCCCUGCUGCAGGAGCUGAUAGGGGACAAAGGCAGGGACCUGCUGGGCGGUCCCCUCCUGGACCGGGUGAGGAUGGAGCACAUCUGGUGGGUUCAGAAGAGGCACGUCAAGUGCAUCCAGGACCUGCCAGGUGUGCCUCUGUACACAAAGACCGGCACCACCACCACCAAGGAGGGCGUCGUCCUCACCAAGUACAGGUGUGCGCGAGGUUCAACGUUCCUGGAGUCCUUCCACUGCCACCUGAACCGCUUUAUUCCAGACCAACAUUAAUAUGGCUUC